rnacentral:tRNA from 1 species
AAUAUAGUGCCUGAUUUAAAAGGAUAGCUUUGAUAGAGCUAAUCAUGUAGGUUCCUACCUAUAUUA